GCCACUAGCGAAGACCAGGGAGAGAGAGAGAGAUGCCUAGUGAGCCCCAGUCUCUGCACCCCAGCUGAAGCCCCAGACAUCAUGUGGGGCAGAGAUGUCAUCCCUCCAAGCCCAGUCCAAAUUUCAUAUUGGAGAGAAAAAGGAAUGAUUAUUGUAUUUUCAAACACUAAGUUUUGGCGUGGUGUAUAGCACAGCGAUAGGUAACCAGAAUAUCAGCUUGAUAUAAGACAACCGGGUUCUCAUAUCUGCUUCUGCACUGAGAUGUUUCAGUAUCACAUGCUAUGUAACCUCUAGAAAACUUCACUGCACACUUGAGGGAGAAUGAGCCUGCUCGAGCUUCUCCGUGGCCUGUGAGUCGGCAGUGGCCUUUCCCACUCAGUCUUUGCAGAGGAAAGAGAAGCAGGAAGGGAAAGAGAGAACAGGGGGAAGUCGAAUUUAGAUAAAGUCUGCCACAUUUUUCUUAAGAGGAAACUGGACAAGCUGUUUGUAAAGGCACCCAUGACAGGACACCUUCUGCAGUCUUAUGGAUAUUAUGAUGG